rnacentral:rRNA from 1 species
GACGUAGGGCGCGAGCGUUUGUCCGGAUUUAUUGGGCGUAAAGAGCUCGUAGGCGGUUUGUCGCGUCGUUUCGUGAAAACUCACAGCUUAACUGUGAGCUUGCGGUCGAUACGGGCAGGCUAGAGUUCGGUAGGGGAGACUGGAAUUCCUGGUGUAGCGGUGAAAUGCGCAGAUAUCAGGAGGAACACCAGUGGCGAAGGCGGUUCUCUGGGCCUUACCUGACGCUGAGGAGCGAAAGCGUGGGGAGCAAACAGG